UACGUAGGCAGCAAGCGUUGUUCGGAAUUACUGGGCGUAAAGAGUGUGUAGGCGGUGUUCUAAGUUUGUCGUGAAAUCUCCCGGCUUAACUGGGAGGGUGCGGCGAAAACUGGAAUGCUAGAGGAUGGGAGAGGUAAGCGGAAUUCCUGGUGUAGCGGUGAAAUGCGUAGAUAUCAGGAGGAACACCUGUGGUGUAGACAGCUUACUGGACCAUUUCUGACGCUGAGACACGAAAGCGUGGGUAGCAAACAGGAUUAGAUACCCUGGUAGUCCACGCCCUAAACGAUGCAUACUUGGUGUGAGCGAUUCAUUUCGUUCGUGCCGGAGCUAACGCGUUAAGUAUGCCGCCUGGGGAGUACGGUCGCAAGGCUGAA
rnacentral:rRNA from 1 species